CGGGUCCCCGGGUCAUCAAAAGCUGUUUUCUUCUCUGCGGAUCCCCCGCUCCGGAGCAGGAGUGCUGCUUAUGGCAUUUGACAGGGGCCAAGGCAGGGAAGUAUCUCUCCGUUACAUCGGAGUAUAGCAUGAUAUGUUUUACAGCCAGGGAUUUUUCAUUCGGAUGGUAUCUCUUUCAGUGGUUGAUUUAAAGUCAAAAUGACACCAACAUGGAGAACAAAUGGUUUACCUGUUCUCUCCCCAGUCCCACCCAGAGCUGCAGUGAAGCUUCAAACCAGUGUGACUGGUCUUUGUUUCCUGUGCAGAUUGCCACUUGCAAAUGUCCUUCCUGGCCAGUGCCACAGUAAAUGUUGGUCACCCGUGGCAUCUGCGUGACCAGGAGAAGAGCAGGAGGCCGGCUUCCUCCUCCACUGUCAGCAUAUUGUGACGCAUGGCAGCUUACAGGUGCCUAGCGAUGUGGAUUUACUGAUCAUAUGACCUAGUUUUAACUUAACUCCCAAAUGAGCCAUAGGGCUUAAAAAGAUUCCUGCAAAGAAACCAUGUGUUAAAAAUAAUACUAAUAAUGCAAGCACGCCCGAACAAGAUGGAGGCAGAGCAGAUGUUUCUUCUAGUACAAGCUCUUUGUCAGCCACAUCAUGAGGCCAAAACAACUAUAAUCUAAUCAGAUCUGAGAUGAAGUUGGCCCUCAAAUUGAAAAUAUCAAGAGACAAUUUGAAACACGAGUUUCCAAUCACUGCCGUUUUAAUGACAAGCCUGGCCUUGAGUGUACAUCGUAUAUUGGGACUAUCUGAUGAACAGCAGAAGCCUCCAGAACAGAGGUCCUUAAACAUAAAUAAAUACAGCAGAUUGCAAAGGAAACCAACAGCAUUUACAACAUUAUCAAAUUAUUAAAACAAAUUUGUGAUAUAGAUAUUUAUGUGCUUCUUUAGUGAAUCAUUAAGUAACAAGUUCCUGUGGCAGAUCUAAUAACUAUCAUCAUUUCAUAGCACUGAUGAACAUAAAUAAUAUUUCGAGAUCUCUGCAACGAGAACGUGAUUUUAAUUGGUGACAGUCUCAGGUACUGCGAAUACUACUGAAGUUUGUUGCUUAUGUUCGGAGGAAAUGCGAAAUUUCAGUUAGAAGCAAGUGAAAAUGAAGAUUCAUGUCUUCCUACAUCAAAUUCACAGACCCUGUGCAUUUUAUCCUUGAACCUCAGGUUAAGAGCCCUGGCCCAGAACAAAGUAAAGGUCCCGUCUCUCACAGCCUCAC